rnacentral:rRNA from 1 species
GACGAACGCUGGCGGCCUGCUUAACACAUGCAAGUCGAGCGGUAAGGCCCUUUCGGGGGUACACGAGCGGCGAACGGGUGAGUAACACGUGGGUGACCUGCCCUCAGCUCUGGGAUAAGCCUGGGAAACCGGGUCUAAUACUGGAUAUGACUCCAUGACGCAUGUUGUGGGGUGGAAAGCCUUGUGCGGCUGAGGAUGGGCCCGCGGCCUAUCAGUUUGUUGGUGGGGUGAUGGCCUACCAAGGCGACGACGGGUAGCCGGCCUGAGAGGGCGACCGGCCACACUGGGACUGAGACACGGCCCAGACUCCUACGGGAGGCAGCAGUGGGGAAUCUUGCGCAAUGGGCGAAAGCCUGACGCAGCGACGCCGCGUGAGGGAUGACGGCCU